rnacentral:rRNA from 1 species
GCCCAGCCGUAAACUUUUAUUUACAUCUAAAUCGCCAGGGAACUACGAGCUAAGCUUAAAACCCAAAGGACUUGACGGUACCCCACAUCCUACUAGAGGAGCCUGUUCUGUAAUCGAUAAUCCGCGUUUAACCUCACCAUCUUUAGUUAAUCAGCCUGUAUACCUCCGUCGUCAGCUUACCACGUGAGCGCAAAUUAGUGGGCCCAAUGUUAUUACACCAAUACGUCAGGUCAAGGUGCAGCAAAUAAGAUGGGAAGAGAUGGGCUACACUUUCUACUUUAGAAAAAACGGAAAACUACCUAUGAAACCUAGUUGGAAGGCGGAUUUAGCAGUAAAAAGGAAUCAACACGUCCAUUUUAACUUGGCACUGGGGUGUGU